rnacentral:rRNA from 1 species
CUACGGGGCGCUCCAGUGGGGAAUAUUGGACAAUGGGGGAAACCCUGAUCCAGCAAUGCCGCGUGUGUGAAGAAGGCCUGCGGGUUGUAAAGCACUUUCGGUUGGGAGGACUGCUUCUAGCACUAAUAUUGUUGGAAGUUGACGUUACCUUCAGAAGAAGCACCGACUACUCCGUGCCAGCAGCCGCGGUAAUACGGAGUGUGCAAGCGUUAAUCGGAAUUACUGGGCGUAAAACGCGCGUAGGCGGCUAGAUCAGUCGGGUGUGAAAGCCCCGGGCUUAACCUGGGAACUGCAUCCGAUACUGUCUAGCUUGAGUACAGGAGAGGAGAGUGGAAUUCCACAUGUAGCGGUGAAAUGCGUAGAUAUGUGGAGGAACACCAAUGGCGAAGGCAGCUCUCUGGCCUGAUACUGACGCUGAGGUGCGAAAGCGUGGGGAGCAAACAGGAUUAGAUACCCCGGUAGUC